rnacentral:rRNA from 1 species
GACGAACGCUGGCGGCGUGCCUAAUACAUGCAAGUCGAACGCACUCACGUUGGAUUGAAGACGCUUGCUUUUGCUGCGGACGAUUUGGGAACGUGUCGAACGGGUACCUAACACGUGGGUAACCCGCCCUGAAGUGGGAGCUAACAUUGGGAAACAGAUUCUACUACCGCAUUAAACAUAGCACCACAUGGUUCAUGGUUGAUAGAUGGUUUCGCCUAUCACUUUAGGAUGGACCCGCGGUGCAUUAGUUAGUUGGUGAGGUAAAGGCUCACCAAGACCGGGAUGCGUAGCCGACCUGAGAGGGUAAUCGGCCACACUGGGACUGAGACACGGCCCAGACUCCUACGGGAGGCAGCAGUAGGGAAUCUUCCGCAAUGGGCGAAAGUCUGACGGAGCAACGCCGCGUGAGUGAAGAAGGUCUUCGGAUCGUAAAACUCUGUUAUUGGGGAAGAACAUAUGUGUAAGUAACUGUGCAGGUAUUGACGGUACCUAAUCAGAAAGCCACGGCUAACUACGUG